rnacentral:lncRNA from 1 species
GCACCACAAUGCAGUCAUGCUGGGCUUUCACCUACCCUAUUAUAAGGGUGGAGGGAAUAGGCCUGUUUCCUUUGAUAAUAAUGGUUGGGAAUUACGGUCUAUUUUUUUUAAAGCACUAACUAAAGCACCAUUCUCCUCCACUUUCUUUUGAAGUGGAAAGGGGUGCUGUGAUGGCCUUUACAUUCAAAGCGUAAUUGUGAAAUGAAUUAAGGAGAGGAGAUGGAGGAGCAGAUCCCUUCAAAUAUUUUGGUGUCCUGAUCCCAUCAUUCCCAUGAAAUUUCCUACUUUUUCACUGGGCUAGUCACCGUUUGGGUCCCAUGUUCCUACUCUUUCAAGUCCUAUCACUGGUCAGUCAGAUUUCUUCAAUUUACCCUAAAUUCGGAAGCUGGCCUGGUCCUCUAUGUGUGUUCCAAGCCUCCAAGGUACCAACUCACACUUGGGGGGAUGGAAAAUCUCCUUGAACCUUCUGGAGGGAGGCAAAGACUUGUCACUUUCCUAGACUGACCCUAUUCUUUCUCUUUAUUCUUCUCCCUUUCCCUCCAGACACUUCCCUUUAAUGUGACCCUUCCUUCUAAGGUGUGAAUCCUCCCUUCUCUGUGCGACUAUCUUAAUACGAACCCUCCCCCUUAAUGUGGACCCCCUACUGUGCCUUACCCGGUGGCCUCACUCCCUUCGUGACUCCUCCCCCUCGUCUGUUACCCUUCCCUAAAGGUGACCCCUCCCCUCACUGUGACCCCUCCCACUCAAAGAGCUGUAGGUAACAGGUGGUUGUCUCUGUCUCUCCCGUGUCUCUGUCUGUUAUCAGCCAGGAGGGGCCUGGCUGAUAACCUGUUUUUUCCGCGUGCCCCCUCCCCAUAUUGCCUGGUGUCAGGCUCAGCUCUCAGGGGAGCCUUGCCUUAAAAUGUCGCAGGUCGACUCGACUCUCCUCAGGGUCAGAAAAGGGGCAGCCAAUAGUGGAAAGGAAAUCGGUGACGUCACUGGCUGCUGGGUGCAGGAUGAAGCUAAUCUGGAGGAGUUUGAAGGGUUCCGUGUGGGAGGACAUAACAAUUCUUGCAGUUUCCCUGGGUUCCCUGACUAUGUGUGCCUGUGGUAUGUUGAUUGCCAGUAUUCUGUGAAUGCUGUUUGAUAUUCUGAAAGGCCAGAUAUGGGGUGGGGACAGAACUAGAGAUUUCCUAUUUUUAAAUAAUUUUGAGAAAUAUUUCACUUAAAAAAAAAUAAAAAAGAAAUAUUUCACUUAAUUCCA